ACUAAAGAAGGCUUCCCCACAACCCAUAUGCAUCUGCUUUGACUGGUGGUUUCUAUCAUCCUACAAAGACUGUGACUUAUUGGUGAGGGCAGCUGGACAACUCUGAGAGCAACUUAGAGAAAUCCAUCUUGGGCACACUCUAUAAAGGAGCUCCUUCUCUGCAAAUAGCACCCCAGAUAAGUGCACAAAAGCAAGAUACCCUCGUGGACCUACACGUCCUCCCGCUUUUCAACACCCUGAUGCCUGAAGCUAUGGUUGAUACUAAAGGAGGUUUUCCCACUAUCCGUAUGCAUCUUCUCUGUUUUGAGAUUGCAACUAUGGACAGUUAUGGCUAAUCCUAGUAGAUUGUCUUCCCUUUUAACAUCUUGGAUGAAUUUGGGUCACACUAAUUGUUAUGUGAAGAUGGAUGUUGAAUGUAAGUUUCUCUGCCAUUCUUAGCCAAUAUAUAAAAAUUACAUUAGCCUAAUUGCUAACAAUGCCAAGAAUUUAGGUUUACUAUCCCUCUGGACAAUGUAGCUUCUUGUUUUCUUACCAUAUAGAUAACUCUAUAGAUUCACCCCAGCCAGUCAUCUU
rnacentral:lncRNA from 1 species